GCUACAGGCCUAACACAUGCAAGUCGAGGGGCAGCAGAUCGAAGCUUGCUUUGAUGCUGGCGACCGGCGAAUGGGUGAGUCACGCGUGUCCAACCUGCCCUGUGCCCGGGGAUAGCCCUUGGAAAUGAGGAUUAACACCCGAUAGGUGGCGCUUCCGCAUGGCGGCGCCAUGAAACCGACACAGGAUGGGGACGCGUCGGAUUAGCUUGACGGCGGGGCGACGGCCCACCGUGGCGACGAUCCGCAGGGGUUCUGAGAGGAAGGUCCCCCACACUGGCACUGAGACACGGGCCAGACUCCUACGGGAGGCAGCAGUGAGGAAUAUUGGUCAAUGGCCGAGAGGCUGAACCAGCCAAAGUAGCGUGCAGGACGACGGCCCUACGGGUUGUAAACUGCUUUUGCGGGAGGAUAAAGGACGCCACGUGUGGCGUUUUGCAGGUAUCCCGUGAAUAAGGACCGGCUAAUUCCGUGCCAGCCGCCGC
rnacentral:rRNA from 1 species